rnacentral:lncRNA from 1 species
GACAAAUUUCAAUAAGAACCCAAAGGAAGUAUGUGUUAACAGCCAUGAGUCAUCGUACGACCUUCAACAAUAACCAAAAAAAUCAAAAUGUAAAAGGUUUUGCAUAAAAAUGGAAAGCAUAAAAUUAUAAAACAAAGGACUUUUUUCUAAUAAAAUUGAUAAUGGAAACGGGGAAUGUGUCAGAGACAACAAUCUGACCAAAGAGCAGAUAACAGCUAACGACCACCAAUGGACGAGCUACAGACGGCCAUUAUGUGACAAAAUGUAAUAUAGUUCAUGAAAGAACAG